UAAGGAAUAUUGCGCAAUGGGGGAAACCCUGACGCAGCAACGCCGCGUGAGUGAUGAAGGCCUUCGGGUUGUAAAGCUCUGUCAGGUGGGACGAAACAGUCAGGUUGAAUAAACCUGAUGAAUGACGGUACCGCCAGAGGAAGCACCGGCUAACUCCGUGCCAGCAGCCGCGGUAAUACGGAGGGUGCAAGCGUUGCUCGGAAUUACUGGGCGUAAAGCGCAAGUAGGUGGCUUGGAAAGUCAGAUGUGAAAGCCCACGGCUUAACCGUGGAAGUGCAUUUGAUACUGCCAAGCUUGAGUUUGGUAGAGGAUGGUGGAAUUCCUAGUGUAGAGGUGAAAUUCGUAGAUAUUAGGAAGAACACCGGCGGCGAAGGCGGCCAUCUGGGCCAAAACUGACACUGAAUUGCGAAAGCGUGGGGAGCAAACAGG
rnacentral:rRNA from 1 species